rnacentral:rRNA from 1 species
UACGUAGGGGGCAAGCGUUGUCCGGAAUUAUUGGGCGUAAAGCGCGUGUAGGCGGCCCGGUAAGUCCGCUGUGAAAGUCGGGGGCUCAACCCUCGAAAGCCGGUGGAUACUGUCGGGCUCGAGUACGGAAGAGGCGAGUGGAAUUCCUGGUGUAGCGGUGAAAUGCGCAGAUAUCAGGAGGAACACCAAUUGCGAAGGCAGCUCGCUGGGACGUUACUGACGCUGAGACGCGAAAGCGUGGGGAGCAAACAGG